rnacentral:rRNA from 1 species
GAUGAACGCUGGCGGCGUGCUUAAUACAUGCAAGUCGAACGAAGCACCUUGGACAGAAUCCUUCGGGAGGAAGACCAUUGUGACUGAGUGGCGGACGGGUGAGUAACGCGUGGGUAACCUGCCUUGUACAGGGGGAUAACAGUUGGAAACGACUGCUAAUACCGCAUAAGCGCACAGUACCGCAUGGUACGGUGUGAAAAACUCCGGUGGUACAAGAUGGACCCGCGUCUGAUUAGCUGGUUGGUGAGGUAACGGCCCACCAAGGCGACGAUCAGUAGCCGACUUGAGAGAGUGAUCGGCCACAUUGGGACUGAGACACGGCCCAAACUCCUACGGGAGGCAGCAGUAGGGAAUAUUGCACAAUGGGGGAAACCCUGAUGCAGCGACGCCGCGUGAAGGAAGAAGUAUUUCGGUAUGUAAACUUCUAUCAGCAAGGAAGAAAAUGACGGUACUUGACUAAGAAGCC